CCUACGGGAGGCAGCAGUAGGGAAUAUUGCUCAAUGGGGGAAACCCUGAAGCAGCAACGCCGCGUGGAGGAUGAAGGUUUUCGGAUUGUAAACUCCUUUUGUUAGAGAAGAUAAUGACGGUAUCUAACGAAUAAGCACCGGCUAACUCCGUGCCGGCAGCCUCGGUAAUACGGCGGGUGCAAGCGUUACUCGGAAUCACUGGGCGUAAAGAGCGCGUAGGCGGGAUAGCAAGUCAGAUGUGAAAUCCUAUGGCUUAACCAUAGAACUGCAUUUGAAACUGUUAUUCUAGAGAAUGGGAGAGGUAGGGGGAAUUCUUGGUGUAGGGGUAAAAUCCGUAGAGAUCAAGAGGAAUACUCAUUGCGAAGGCGACCUGCUAGAACAUAACUGACGCUGAUGCGCGAAAGCGUGGGGAGCAAACAGGAUUAGAUACCCGUGUAGUC
rnacentral:rRNA from 1 species